rnacentral:rRNA from 1 species
UACGUAGGGUGCAAGCGUUAAUCGGAAUUACUGGGCGUAAAGCGUGCGCAGGCGGUUAUGUAAGACAGGUGUGAAAUCCCCGGGCUUAACCUGGGAACUGCAUUUGUGACUGCAUAGCUAGAGUACGGCAGAGGGGGAUGGAAUUCCUGGUGUAGCAGUGAAAUGCGUAGAUAUCAGGAGGAACACCGAUGGCGAAGGCAGGUCUCUGGGCUGACACUGACGCUCAUGCACGAAAGCGUGGGGAGCAAACAGG